rnacentral:lncRNA from 1 species
CAAGCUGCCAGUUUAUGGAGAUCUCAGUAGGAGGUCUUUGGGCUAAUCAUUUAGAGCACCACACAGCAACUGCUGAGUUUGUAUCUUCCCUGGGAUUAGAAAAAUAAAGUUUUUGGCCAAGUCAUUCUCUCUCAAAGCUACUAUACAAAUGGUUCCAGAAGGUAUUCAGGACAGUGCUCCCAGGAUUUUUAAGGCCUGAAACAAAUGUACAUUUCUUCUAGCUAAUAAAUUCCUCAAAUAAUGAGUGAAAUAGGUACAAGUACUCAGUUUUCUCUAAAAACAAAACAAAACAAAAACAAAAAACUAUUUGGUUUUAAGAGUUAUACUCAUAACAAGACUUUGUUUUGUUUUGUUUUGUUUGUCUGUGGGCCUUGACUAAUUGAUAUAGUGUUUCUGUAUGAGAGAACAAAGGACUACAUAUAGGUCAAAUAUUGGAGAUUAACAAGGUGUUGGGGGAAUCACUUUUGUUUGCCUGUGUGCCCACCCUAAUCUUAUCUUGAAUUGUAACUCCCACAAUUCCUAUAUGUCAUGGGAGGAACCCAGUGGGAGGUGAUUGAAUAUGGGUGGGUGGGUGUUUCCUGUGCUAUUCUUGUGAUUGACAGUGAAUGAGUCUCACAAGAUCUGACGGUUUUUAAAAACGGGAGUUUCCCUGCACAAAUUUGCUUGCUGGCAACCAUGUGAGAUGGGACUUUCUCCUCCUUGACUUUCGCCAUGAUUGUGAGGCCUUCCCAGCCAUGUGGAACUAUCACUCAUUCUGGGGGCAGCCCUCUGGCAUGUAAUGAGCAGUCCUAUGGAGAGGCCCAUGUGACAGUAGCCAUGCGAGUGACACUGGAAGUGAAACCUGCAGCUCCAGUCAAGCCUUUAGAAGACUGCAGCCCUGGCUGACAGCUUGACAGCAAACUCAUGAGAGACUCUCAGCUUGAACAACUCAGCUAAACUGUUCCUGGGUUCCUGGUCCUCAAAAACUGUACGAGAUGAAAAAAAAGUUUGUUUUUUUAAGCUGCCAAGUUUUGGGAUAAUUUGUUAUUCUAAUAUAUUUUUUAAUACCUGGAAGUAAGGUGCUACCAUAAUAAAUACCUAAAAUGUAGGCACAGCUAGGAAACUAGACAGUGGAGGUAGCUGGAAAGAAUUUAAGAAGCAUAGCAGUGAAAGUCUCAGGAGCCUUGAACAAAACAUUAGAAAAACUUUGGACUUUGACCAGGCUGCUGGUGGAGGUUUAAAAGAAAGUGAGAAAAAUCUUGUUGAAAACAGAACAGGGAAUCCUUACUAUGGAGUGGCAUAAAUCUUAGCAAUAUUGUUGUCUGCAAUAAUGUGGGUGGUGGGAAUGUACCUGGUAAACUGGGUGAUCUAAUUUGCUAUUCAUAAAGACAUAAAGAUUCUCAGCUUUUACAGAUGGUGAAAAAUGCUAAAUUAAGAAAUGGCUGAAGGACAGAGGUCAAAUCCUGGGCACCAUCAUGAAAACAUAAUCCAAAGAUGAAGCUGAGAUGUGACUAUAAAUCCUUUGUUAUGACCUCAGAAAGAUCAAAAGUGGUGCCUCAGAGUACCAGUUUGGUCACACAAAGGCCCUCUAAAGUUUUUAAGGCUGUGACUCACAGAUUCUUUCAAAAACAGGGCUCCUGAGAAGCUUAAGAGCAUAGUUUUUCAGCAGAAUCACAAGGUGGGAAAGGGAUUAUCUCAAAAAGAUUUUUGGGCGUGACUUUUGUCUAAUGGAAUGGACCCCCAAAAAUUCAUAGGUGAUUCACAAAUUUUUUAAAAGAAUUAUAUUAGUAGAAACAUUGCCAACUAGAACUCAAAGGGAUAGAGACAGUAUGAAAUGAAAAAAGGCCUUGGUACUCACUUUGCCCCUGUUUCACUGCAGGUUAAGAAAAAAUUUCAGCUGCAUACAUGUACUAACUUUCAUGAAAAAGAAAGAAUAGCUAAGCAUGGUGACUCACUCCUGUAACCCCAGCACUUUGGGAGGACAAGGUGGGAAGACCACUUGAGCCCAGGAGUUUGAAUCAGCCUGGGCAACAUAGCAAGACUCUGUCUCUUUUUAAAAAAGGAUGACUCUGAAGGGGAAGCUAAAAGCCUCAGAGAAUAACUCAUGCGUAGAAAUAGGACUAAAUCCUAAGGCGAUUCCAACAUUUGCCUGGCUGGAUUUCAGAGCUGCUAUGGGGACAUAGUAGUGUGUCCAGUACCUUUCCUUUUUGAAUAUUAAUGCAUAUAGUGUUUAUUCCUGUUCCACCAUUGUGUGUUUGGGGUGUGUGUGUGUGUGUGUGUGUGUCUAUGUGUGUGCGUGUUAGUUUCAGAUUGAGAGGAAUUAUACCCAAGGAGCUAGAGUUAAGAAAUUAUACCUAAGGAACCUCUUGUGUACCUGGUCCUGAUUUAAAUGACAAGACUCUAGACUUUGAGUUGAUGCUGUAAUGAGACAAGAAUUUUAGAAAUGUUGAGAUGGAGUGGACGUGUUUUGCAUGUUGGAGGGACUUGAUUCACUGGAGCCUAGAAGGCAGACUAUGGUAGCCAGCCCUCAAGAUUGUCUCCUCCUGGUAUUCAUACCCUUGUAUAAUUCCCCUCCCACAUUGUACCAGAAUUUAUCUGUGUGACAGAAUAUGGCAGAAGUAAUGAUAUGUCACUUCUGAGAUUAGGUUAUAAAAGACAUUGUGGCUACCAUCUCUCAUCACUCACUCAAAGGGAAGCCAACCACCAUGCAAUGAGAAUCUCAGGUAAUGAGGACCUGAGACCUGUUGUCAAUCACGUGAAUAAGCUUGGGAGGAGAUUCUCCAGCCCCAGUCAAGCCUCAGAAGACUUCAGCCCUAGGUGACAGCUUGAUGAUAAUCUCGGGAGGCAGAACCACCCAACUAAGCCACUCCUGGAUUCCUGACCCUGACCCUGACCCUAGAAACAGUGUGAGCUGGAAUUCUGUGAAGCACAUGACCUCAAGUCUUUGGAUAAAUGGAAACGCAGCUUAUGCCGGAAAGGUAAAAUCUUGAUUCUUUUCUUUUAUUAAUUUUGAGAGUAGGCCAGGAACAGUGGCUCCCACCUGUAAUCCCAGCACUUUGGGAGGCCAAGGCAGGUGGAUCACUUGAGGUCAGGAGUUUGAGACCAGCCUGGCCAACAUGGUGAAACCCCAUCUCUACUAAAAACACAAAAUUAGCUGGGUGUGGUGGCGUGCACCUGUAAUCCCAGCUACUCAGGAGGCUGAGGCAGGAGAAUCGCUUGAACCCAGGAGGCAGAGGUUGCAGUGAGCUGAGAUCACACUACUGCACGCUAACCUGUGCAACAGAGGGAGACUUCAUCUCAAAACAAACACAAAAAAAAUUGAGAGUAGAGUUGGUGCCCUAGCCAACUCAGAUGGUGACCAAUGCGUUGAUCCCUGAGUAUUGUUGUGAACUACUGAAUGUUUAUAUAUUUAUGUUUCAAGCAGUGAUAUUGUUCCUUUUGGCUUGAAUUGUCACAACUUUGCCAGCAGAAGCCUUUUCAGUUUAGGUCCUGUGUACUUUUGACAUGACCUCUUUAAAGUUUGAUUAUUUCCCUGCUUUCUGGCAGAAAAUUAUGUCUUACUCAUUUUGUAAAUGUCCUGAUGUGGACCUAAAAUCAACUAUUUCUCAAAAGGAAUUUCUUUUAGUGGAGAAUGAUAUUUAAAAAUCACAAUUCAGGCACUAAAGGGGAUUUUACUCUUGAACAAGAGCUGAUUGCAAUCACGUAGGUUUUUCUUGGUGCCAUUUCAAUUUUCUAGCUGUGCACUAAUAGUUAUAAAUGUUUUUCCUGCAAAUUCUUUGAGAGAAAAUAUCAUUAUUGCAAAUAUAAAACUUGGUAUUCUUGACUCCAUUUUUCCUUAGGAAAAAUUUUUUUCUGCUUCUUUGAUAACAUAAAUAUUCUUUAGAAAUAAAACUAUUUAGUUUAGCCAAAUGAGUAGAGAAGUGAACGGGUAGAAGUACUAGGGAACUACCCUAGAUAUUUCAAAAUGCUCAACUACAAGGUUUUGGACUCAGAAGCUAUGCUUCAAAAUUUGUUUCUGUUUUCAAGUAUUAACAAAUUUAAAAGCAUAAACAUUUGUUCAUUUUUUGGUAGGAACCUUAAUGUUUUCCAUUUUGUAGAUUAUUUUAGGUAUAUGGAUAUUAACUAUUUUGUUUCUAUCCUUGGUUCAGAAAUCUGUUCAUUUUAUUUGUGGCUGUCAUUUGCAAUUCUUUAAAUUAACACAUGAAAAGAGAUCCAAUUCCAACUUUAUUAGUAGACAAAUGAUAUGCAAAUUAAAACAAGAAUAUUUUUAUUACAACAAAUUAGCAAAGACCUAAAAAAUUAUACUCCAUUCCAGGAAGUUUUAAAUGACAGUCUCACUUUUUUAUGCAUGCCCUGCUAUCAAGUUUCUGGGUUUUGGGUUUUUUUCUACUCGAUAUGUCUCCCAUUUUCUCCCUUCCUCAAUUACAGUAUCAGGGUCCCCCUCACCAUGCCCUCUAUUCUGACCUGCCAGGGUUGAACAGACACAAAGAUGCCCAGCAUAAAAUUCAGGAGCCCAUGAAUUAUUCUCUGUAAAGGGCCAGAUAGUAAAUAUUUCAACCUGUGAGAGCUAAGCAGCAAAAUCAAGAUAUUAUGUAAGUGCUAAGAGUACAGUAGCUCACGCCUAUAAUCCCAGCAUUUUGGGAGGCUGAGGCAGGAGGAUUUCUUGAGCUCAGGAGUUUGAGUCUAGCCUGAGCAACACAGUGAAACACCAUCUCUCUCACUCUUAAAAAAAAAAAAUGGUAGCUUGCACCUAUAGUACCAGCUACUCAGGAGGCUGAGGCAGGAGGGUCACUUCAGCCCAGGAGGUUAAGGCUGCAGUGAGCCAUGAUCAUGCUCUUGUAUUCCAGCCUGGACAACAAAGUAAGACUGUAUCUCAAAAAAUAAAUAAAAAAUAAAUAUAAAAUGUCACCAUUAAAGAUGUAAAAAUCUACUUUUAGGUUGGGGAGCUAUACCAAAAUAGGCAGCAGGCUAUAUACAGUUACCAACCCCCGGCUUAGAUACUCCUCAGAAAGGACUUAUUGCUCAGCUGAGAGGAGGAGUAUUAUCUAACAGCCCCCAGCAAUGAGUUUCAUCACGGUCCACUCCUCAACCCACCCUGCCCCUCCUCUAAACCCAUUCCACCUCUCCCAGUCAAUGACGGAGAGAGGCCUGGUCUCCUGCCGACAGCCAGCAAGGAAAAGCAACCUGAGUCCUAUAGCUGUAAGGAACGACAUUCUGCCAACAACCAGAAUGAACUAGAAAGUGGAUUCUUCCCCAGAGUCUCAAAAUAAGAGUCCAGCUCACACCUUGACUUGGGCUUUCUAAACAGAGAACCAGCCAAAUUAACCCAGAUUUCUGAAGUAUAGACCUAUGAGAUAGUAAAUGGGAGUUAUUUUUAGCUGCAAAGUUUGCAGUAAUUUGUUAUAUAGUAAUAGAAAAUUAAUAAACUGAGAAUUGUAGUUUGCAGAGGAUAGCCCCUGUAACAUGGAACAGACAGGGGAAAGACAAUGAAUGGAUCUGGGAGCAAAUAAGCCAAUGGCCAGACAGACCUUAUCACAACUUUGUUUUGUACAUCCUUUAGCCUAGAUGUUUUUGGCAUGUAUGGCUCACUCUACGUUGUCUCAAUGAGUAAAGAGAUUUAUUUGUGAUGAUGACUGGGAUGUUAGGGAUUUCGGCUAAUUAUUGUUAGUUUUAUUGGAGAAAGACUUUGUUAAUUGGUGAAUGGCUAUGUGAGCCUUUUCUUUCUGUCUGAUUCUCUCCCCUCUGCUGUGGUGUUUGCAAUUGAGGAACAGCUACUAAGAGGUGGCAGCUGCAGAGAAAAGUCCAGAGCCAUACAGAUGAGGCUGGGAACUCUGACUAGCACUGAGUAUUUGAAAGAGAGCUUGGCGAAAGUCUGUUACUACAUGUAGCAGAUACCUGUGACUGCAUAUAGGGAGUGAAGGAGACAGCCAAAAGUGCACUUGAGGAUAACAAAUGGCCAGCCCCUACAUGAUCACUCAUGAAAAUCCAACAGAACCCAGAAGUCUCACUUAGCUUUAAAAAAUCCAUUAUUUUUUUCAGACAGAAGCACUUAGGGAAGCAAAAUGGCUUAUUUCAGCAUGAGAAAGCAAUGUAACAGUACAGCUAAGCUUUGAGGGUCUCCUGAUCAAAAAUUUGUGAGACUAAUAGCUUACACAGGAAAGAGAUGAUAGCCCUUUUGAAUGCCUUCUGAGCGCUCUUACGAGAUGCGCAAUCUAAUUGUGGUGUAAAUACCAGCUAUUGAUGGUGGGUUUUGUUCAUCGGGUUUGUGCUACCACAGUACCAGAGGUCUGUAUCUAUUAGUGCUAGUAAUGUAUGGAUGACCAGGGCUGGUGCAGACAUCUCUGCAGCAAUAAUAAAAGGUAAGAAGAUGCAGACAAAGCUGAAUUUAUUGUGUUUGAGAAGAUAUAGAAUUCAAUUUCCCUGAUAACCAAGCUUAAUUGCACAGAAUUAUGAGAGCUCAUUAAUGAAACCCAAUAUAGACAGUUUAUAUUAGUAAUGGCAUUACAUUGAUUAUCUAAUUUCAGAGUAAGGAAUUAAAGGGGGCCAAAUUAGGGAUUAUUCUGCUUUUACGUAACACCUGUAGUCAGGAAAAAUAAAUAGCUCCCGUUAUUAAACUAAAGCUUUUGUAUACAAAAGAAUGCUAGAUAAUAAAUGUAGAAAUAAUGAUGGAAAUAGAAAAUAUUUUUGCAAGACAUUAUGAAAUAAUCAAUCCAAACAAGGAUCAAUAAUGAAUGCUAAAACUGUUAGUUGAACAGUCAACAGAGAACCAGAUAUUCAAAAAGCACCAAAGUAUCACCCUUAAAAUAACAAGUAAUUUGCUAUUACUUGUUUAUAGCAAACGGAGGAAAAAGUACCCUUUACCAUGGAGAAAUAUGGCUAUUAUCACUAGGUAACUUACUAUCUGAUUGUCCCACUAUUAAUGAUGCUGUGUGACUUCUGAGGUAAUGCUUUAUAAAUUAUAUGACAGCACCUGUCAAUAAUAUUUAAGAGAUAAUGUUUAAGAUGGAAAUGGAAUCUAAAGGCUGGAUUAGAUUCAAGUUAAAGGAAAUUCAAAGCAGAGAAGAACAAAUUAAGGUACACUUGAACACAUUCAGAAUAUGGGACAGAAUAAGACAGCUGUUCUGGUCUCAAAAAAAAAAGUUAAUGACAAGGAAAAAAGGAAGAGGAGCUAGGUUAAGGGACUAAACAGGCAAAACCAAUUCAACAUGGGAUUCUUGAGUGGAUUUUGGUUUUUAAAAAAGCUUUAAAAACACUUUGGGUUAAUGGUGAAUUUUGAAUAUGGAAUAUUCAAAUAUCAGGCAGGGUCCUCGCAGGAAACCGAUGGCAAACUCAAAAGAACUUAAUCAUGAAUCAGUUAAAGAAGGGACUAUUGAGGGAUGUAGGCAGAGCUAAUGGAAUCAAUAGGGGGUGCUGAGGCACCCAGGGCGCAGCAGGGAAGCUGUCACCAACUGCUGUUAGACCCAAAGGAGCAGGCAUGGGGGCAGUUAUGAGUGUCUAGUCACAGCUGGAGCUGCUGAACAGAGUACAGCUUCACAAGGGAUACAGUGGCAGAUGCAGCCAGUACCGGACAAGGAACUCAGCAGGGAGGAGCAGAGAGAGUAUCCCAGCCACUCUCCCACCCUCUGAUCUCUUGCCAGGGCUCACCAUUGGCCUCUGAUGCCUUGUAGGUGCCUCCAGUUGGCUGACCCCAGUUGGAGUCCUGGCCACCCAUGGCAGUCUGUAGAAAUAAGCCUUUUGGAGCUGAGAGCAAAACAGAAAAAAGUGGAGAAUGCAUCUGGAGGUAGAAGGCAAAGGGAGAAUAAAGCACGACAAGUACAGAGUAGAUUAGAGAAUUACUGUUGAUUGUUAGAUGUAAUUGUCUUGUGAGAUCAGAGAAUGCUCAGUUUUUUUGUUUUUUUUUUAGAUGUACAUUGAACUAUUAAGGAAUAAAAUGUCAUAAUGCCUCAUUCAUUCUGAACUGAUUCAGCAAGAGAGACAGAUAGAUAAGUAGGUAGAUAGACUAGAUAUACAAAGCACAUAUAGACACAAGCUUUUUUCUUAUUUAUUGCUACCAACUUCAUGCAUCCAGCCUCCAAUCGUGUCAUGCCUAAAGAAACAAUCCCUGCCCCCGUUUCUUAGACCCAGUACCUGGCACAUGAUAAACGAUAAAAAAUAAGUUCUUACCCAUGCAUCCCUUUUUCAGUGGGAAUUAUACUUCUUGGCUGCCCCCUACACACUUCUAUUAUAAAGAAAUUUAUAUUGUUAUAUUUUUUCACCACAAGAAAAAUUAUCAGGUUUAAAGAGGGGGAUUAACUAAUGAUAAAGGUGUAAACAGUGCAAGAAGACUUAAUUAUUCUUAGCGUGUGUGUGGCUAACAACAGAGCACUAAAAUGAGUGAGGCAGAAACAGAUAAAAGUGCAAGGAGAAAUAGAUAAAUCCAGUAUCAUAGCUGGAGAAUCCAACACACCUUAAUAAGAAAUGGACAGAUCCAGCAGGCAGGAAAUCAGUGAGGACAUAGCUGAACUCAGUAGCAGUACCAAUCAACUAGAUAUGAUUGAUAUCGGUAGACUGUUUCACCUUACACAUUCUUCUCAAGCUCACAUGGAACAUUCACCAUAAUACACCACAUUCUAGGCCAUAAAAUGCACCUUAACAGUUUAAAAGACUAGAAAUCACACAUCUGCUUUCAGACCACAUUGUAAUUAAACUAGAAAUCAAUAACAGAAAGAUAGAGGCCUCAGCUCCUGCUGAUGAAAAAAUAAUAACUGAAGGAUAGCUAGAAAAUCCCAAAUACUUGGAGAUUAAGAAACACUCUUCUAAAUAAUAUAUGGAUAAGAAAAAAAUCUCAAGAGAACUUAAAAAAUGUUUCAAACUAAAUGAAAAUGAUAAUACAACUCAUUAAAAUUUGCAUAAUGCAGCAAAAACAGUACUUGGAAGGAAAUCUAUAGCAUUGAAUACAUAAACUAGAAAGGAAGAAAGAUCUACAAUAAUCUAAACUUCUAUUUUAGAAAACUUAAAAAUAAGAGCAAACCAAAUGCCAAAUAAGGAGAAGAAAAGACAAUGAAGAAUUAGAGCAGAAAUCAGUGAAAUGGAAAAUAGGAAAUUAAUAGACAAAAUCAAAAGUUAGUUCUUUAAAAAGAAUAUUAAAAUUGGUUACUCUCUAGGCCAAGAAAAAAAGAGAAGACACAAAUUAGAGUUGUCCCAUGAUAUCCCUGGGGAAUUGUUCCAGGACCCAACAUGGAUACCAAAAUUUAUGGAUGCUCAAAUCUCUUACAUAAAAUGGCACAGUAUUUACAUAUAGCCUACACACAUCUUCUCUCAUGCUUUAAAUCAUCUCUAGAUUACUUUUAAUACCUCACACAAUGUAAAUGCUAUGUAAAUAAUUGUUACAAUGUACUGUUUUAAAAUCUGUAUUAUUUUAUUCUAUUUUUAUUUUUGCUUUUCAAAAAAUACUUUUGAUCCAUGGCUGGUUGAUUUUAUGAAUGGGGAACCCAUGAAGAUGGAAGGCUGGCUGUACUAAUAUCAGAAAUGGAAGAGGAGAGACAUCACUAGAGAUCCCAUGGAUAUUGAAAGGAUAAUAAAGGAGUAUUAUGAGCAUUGUU